rnacentral:rRNA from 1 species
AACGAACGCUGGCGGCAGGCCCAACACAUGCAAGUCGAGCGAACCCUUCGGGGUUAGCGGCGGACGGGUUAGUAACGCGUGGGAAUAUACCCUUUGGUACGGAAUAGCCUCGGGAAACUGAGAGUAAUACCGUAUGUGCCCUUCGGGGGAAAGAUUUAUCGCCAAAGGAUUAGCCCGCGUUGGAUUAGAUAGUUGGUGGGGUAAUGGCCUACCAAGUCUACGAUCCAUAGCUGGUUUGAGAGGAUGAUCAGCAACACUGGGACUGAGACACGGCCCAGACUCCUACGGGAGGCAGCAGUGGGGAAUCUUAGACAAUGGGCGCAAGCCUGAUCUAGCCAUGCCGCGUGGACGAUGAAGGCCUUAGGGUUGUAAAGUCCUUUCAGAUGGGAAGAUAAUGACGGUACCAUCAGAAGAAGCCCCGGCUAACUCCGUG